rnacentral:lncRNA from 1 species
UCUCACCUUUGUAUUAUUUCAGCAUGCUACCUGAAAAUCUUCUGCUUAAAUUAAAACAACUAUAUAUCUUUUAGUUAUUACCAAUAUGUUGACUGGUUAGAUACUGUAGGUAUGCAAAUAAUUUCUUCUAGUAGAAAAUACAUAUUUGGUGAGAUGGUUGAUUGUAUGCUACAUAGCUUACCACUGAAUAAGUAAGUCUAAGGCUUGGAAUAAGGUAUAAUAUUAAAAAAAAAAAAAAACCCUGAUAAAUAAAAAAGGAGAUACUUAAAUUUCUAUGAGAGAACCUCAGAUUAAUGAAACAGCAGUCCUCAUCUGUGUUAUUGAAGCAUGAAACAAGAAAAUAUUGCAAUGAGAAAGUGUUUAAAGCCACGAGGCCUUGAAACUCUAGUUUCAAACUGAAAAGGAAAAACCUGAGGGUAAAAUGCACACAAGCCUUGAAAUUGAAACUGAAGAAGACAACCCAAAGGCAACAUUCACUGGAGCCUGGAUGAUCAUUCUGAAGGAACAGAGAGAGCCUAAGGGCAAAAAUGCAUUCAGGCCCAACAGUGAGUUUGAAAAGAUCCCUUCAAGGCAAGACUCAUUCUCAUUCUAACAAUAAGUUAGUAUGGACCCAGUUUAGGGGCAGCAUGCUUAAUGCCCUGGAAUUGAAAAAGCAAGCACUUAACUACGGGUGCCUGCAUUUUUUAUGAAAUGAUAAGAGUCUGUUUGGUAAGAACUGGGAUUUGGCAAGCAUUUAAAUGUGCAUCUUAGAGCUUAUGAGAACAUUGGACAAUGAAGGCCAAAAAGAGAAAAUGGGAUUGGCAGGGAGUAGCACUUAUUGAUAAAACUUGUACUGGGUAUAACACUGUGAUCCAGAGCCAAUGUACAGAUCUUUUCAGUCAGUUUAUAUUAACUCUUAAUGACUGAUCUAUUUUCAUAUUGUAAAAGAUGUCUAAAAAAUCACCAUGAAUUACACUCUGAUAAUUGAUCUCUUUCCGAUUUAGAGGAAUAACAAAAUUAGCAUACCUUAAGAUUAGUUAUGUAGAAUGGUAAGAUUCCAAUAUCCUUCUUGUAAGCAAUAAACAUCUUGAAUAUUACACACUGAAAAGUAUGAGCUAUAUUAAAACAAUUUUAUUGGCAUUCAGAGUAGUGUUUAGUUUCCCUGAAAUGAUCACUAGCCAUAUUAACAGCUUAAUAUGGUUAAUGAGUAUGACUACCUUAUAUUAGUGGUUCUCAAAGUAUCCUCAUAGAUGAGCAAUAUUGGUUUCAACUACGAACUUAAGCAAAAUGUAAAUUCUAGCGCCCCAGCUCACGUUUUGAAUACUGGGAAUGGGGCCCAGCUUAUAUGUUUUAAAAGGCUUCCAAGUGGGGAUCCCUGGGUGGCGCAGCGGUUUGGCGCCUGCCUUUGGCCCGGGGCGCGAUCCUGGAGACCCGGGAUCGAAUCCCACAUCGGGCUCCCGGUGCAUGGAGCCUGCUUCUCCCUCUGCCUAUGUCUCUGCCUCUCUCUCUCUCUCUCUGUGACUAUCAUAAAUAAAUAAAAAAAAAAUAAAAAAAAUAAAAGGCUUCCAAGUGAUUGUGAUUUAAGAUUAAGUUUUUGAAUUAUUGGUCUACAUUAUUGCAUGACCACUAUUCCAGAAAUUUUUUUAGCUCAGAAAAUGAAUUUGCAAAUAACUUUGUUUCAGGAACUUCCUAACACAUCCGAACAAUGAACUCCACAAUAACUCCCUUGUAUGAGUUGAAUCUUCUAAGAAAAAUAGAUAUGCAACUGCGCUGAUCUAAAUGACUAUUUAUUCUUGAGGCUUCCUUCAAAACAAUUACAAAUACAACAGCCCUUGAACUUUGGUAAGGUGACUGUUAUAUUGAAUUUGAACUUCUACUUUUUUUGCCAAGCUCUCCAAAUGUUUCUAGGAAUGAAGUGGACUUUCUUUAGAAUAUGUAUUUAUAUAUGUAUAUGUAUUAUAUAUAUGUAUUUUUCCUCCAAAUACUUUAAACAGAUCCUUUUUGAAAGCUUUUGUCUUAGUGGAAAGAAUAUGAUUUAUUUUUCGCAAAAUUGCUAUUUGCUUCAAUGUAUUUUCUUCAUUUCCCUUAAGUAGAAGUUCAUAAGGAAAAAGACAGGUAUAGGUCCUUGUAAGUUUGUUCAUGGGGCAGCUCCAAAGGGCCAAUGAGUUUAAGAGGUCUCACUAAAUCAGUCUCUGAUAGGCCCAAUCUUGUUUUAUUUUCCAUAUCAAAAACACAGAUUUUUUCUCAGUCUGUCUUAUUUUGACUGUAAAAUUCAGUCUCAUUUUGGGAGAAAUCUCUCCAUCUAGUCAUCCAGCCAUGCAGUCAUUGGAAAACAAGAACCAACAAUUAGGUUUAGAACUCAAGACAAGAUGCACAAGUAAGAAUUUGACUUGUGGGCAGCCCAGGUGGCUCAGUGAUUUUAGCACCGCCUUCAGCCCAGGGCCUGAUCCUGGAGACCGGGGAUCGAGACCCGGGAUCGAGUCCCACGUCGGGCUCCCUGCAUGGAGCCUGCUUCUCCCUCUGCCUGUGUCUCUGCCUCUCUCUCUCUCUCUCUCUGUGCCUCUCGUGAAUAAAUAAAUAAAAUCUUAAAAAAAAAAAAAAAGAAUUUGACUUGUUUCAGAACAUGAUGAUGGUUUGCCCCGGUCUAAGUUCUUACACCCUCCCCAAUAAACUCCAAAUUUUUGUACUUAUUUUUUUCUAAAUGAUAUAAUUAUACCAAAAAAAUUAGAUUUGCAGUGCUAUUGGGGAAUUUUAAAUAUGAACAAAAUUAUUCACUUAAGAGGCACCUUAAAAUGCAAGAAAACAAACAUCCAAUACUUGUUUGUUUUUUAUUGAAAUGAAGAAAGUUCCCAAAAGGCUCAUGAUCCAAGGAUCUAAGAUUGCUUCUUGGGGAUCCCUGGGUGGCGCAGCGGUUUGGCGCCUGCCUUUGGCCCAGGGCGCCAUCCUGGAGACCCGGGAUCAAAUCCCAUGUCGGGCUCCCGGUGCAUGGAGCCUGCUUCUCCCUCUGCCUGUGUCUCUGCCUCAUUCUCUCUCUCUCUCUCUGUGACUAUCACAAAUAAAUAAAAAUUUAAAAAAAAAUUUAAAAAAGAUUGCUUCUUUAAAAUAUUACUGUCGAAGGCAAACAAAAACAUGGGGAAAACUAAAAACUCUCACCUAGAUCCUUCUACCUAAACUCACACCUAAUGACUUUAUUUUACUAGUCUUCUUCCCUCAUUCUAUAUUCCUUAUUACCUGGCUGCCCUACUCCUUUUUCUGUCCUGUUCCCCUCUUCUUAUGACCAGCUAAAAACAAAGUUCAGUGACAUGAUAAGGAAAACUCCCUUCAAAAUUGGGAAACACCCUUAUGGAGAAACUUUCCAAAGUCUAAACAAGACAAAGAAAAAUUUAAACAAUUAUUUAGAAUAAUUUCAGGAACACAUAGUGUAGGGUUCUCACAUCUAUGUCAAUUAGUUCAUAUGUUAGUGGAAAUUGCAGAUGCAACAAAGGAAAAAAAAUAAAAUCGAAAAGUAGAAUGAAAAGGUCUUGGGAAUGAUAUAAAAGACCACAAAUUGCAUAUGAACCCAAAAGGGUCUAGAAAAAAAAGUACAUGUUUGGCAUAGUCUUUUAGCUAUUAUUCUAAAUUGUGUACUAUGAAAAUAGAUUGAAUUUGACUUCAGGCUGUAAAUGAUUAGUUCACAAGAGACUUAAAGAAUAGAAUUAUUGAAAACUUUACACAUAGAGCAGUAGAUUGGAAGUAGAUGUGAAUCUAGUUCUUUCCUCACUUUUUGUAAGCUGAAAAUAGAGGAUGUAGCAAUACAGAGCAAAAUUGUGUUAAAUAUUUUCUCUUAUAAAUAGAUCAUUUUGCUGAAUAGCUAUAUGGAAAUGUGAGUAAGUGUGGAGGUAGGGAGAUGCUCUCUCUCCCUGGGGGGGGGGGGGGGGGGAAGAAAAGAGAAAAGGCAAUUUGUUAGCUUUUUAAUUAAAUUAAAACUUCUAACAAGUAUCCAUUUUACUCAACAUACAUUUUACUCGACAGAGUCCUCCCACUCAAACUACACAUGUAUGCAUAUGUGCAUGUAUACGUAUGCCUAUAUAACUGUGUAUAUAUAUUUAAUAUGUAAUAUAUAUAUACAAUACUAUAGUCUUAUACAUAUAACCAUAUAUCCCCAGUUUUGUCUGUCUCCUCAAUAUCAUACAUUUCUUUCUGCGAUGCUAAACUACUCUUUGCAGUUUCACAAUUGCCUUAGCAUGAUUGCUUUUGCAAAACUCUAGGUCUUUCUUUAUGGUAUUUUCUCUACUGAAUUUUACUUUCUCCAAUCUCCAACGGUCAAAAUCCAAUUUAUCCUUUAAGACUAUUUUCAAGGGCUACUUUCCACUAAUAUUCCUAGUCAUAAUAAAUUGUUCUUCUAUUAUUCUGUGGGUAAUUACUAUGACUUGUCUGUUCACUGUGAGUUUUGAAUAGUAGAAGUUUUUUGUAUAUCUGUAUACCACCAAUGCUUAAAACAGAUUAAGUACAGAGUAAACUUUAAUAAAUGAAUUAAUAAGGAGUAAAUGGAUGGACUGACUGAUAACUAUAAACUUUUCCUUCUUUCUUUCAUUUGAUAAUGAGUGAUUCUUUGAGCAAAUAUUUUACUUCCUUUGUAAUGACUUCCUCACAAUACACAGUGUAAAGCUCUCAACACAGUAGGUAAUCAAUACCCACUGUUGACUAUUGAAGUAAAAUAAAUUUACAAAAAUAAACCAGGCUUGUUUCUAGCAAUUCAACUCCCCUUAGUGAUUUUUGGCAGGCUAAAUGAAAUCACUGCAGGAAAGUUUAUGAAUGAUAUGCUGAAUAUUCCAAAUGAAUGCCAUACUUUCAGAUAUAUCACCAGUGACUGAAGUCAUAGUCAUUAUAGAUAUUGAAAAUUAAGUAAGUAUCAAAAGGGAAAAAAUUUUGGAGGGCAUUAAUGAUUCAGCUAUUUGUCCCUUUCCCUCUGGGACCAAGUACUCUGAUGGCAUUACACUGAAUUACAUGAACUUGUACAAUUAGAAAUGCCUUUCUUCAAAAUUAUAAAUAGGAGAUUUUUGUUUAUCAGUAAGAAUAAUAAGAUGCAGGAAUAGGAGUCCUAAAACACUAAUAUAUUUAAAGUCAGGAAAUUAUUAUUUUUGCUAUAUAUUUAUUUAUAUUUAUAUUUAUAUUUAUAUAUAUUUAUAUAUAAUAUGUAAUAUAUAAAAUAUAUAUAUAAUAUAUAUUAUAUAUAUUUAUAUUCAUAUUUAUAUUUUUAUAUAUAUAUUUAUUUAAUGGCUGUUUUAUUUUAUCCUCCCAUAAUUCUUUUGGCCAUGUUAAGUGAUAUUCUGAGCUUGAGUUAUUAUAUAACUUGAAUAUUAUGUAAUAUACAUAUGCAUGCAUGAUACUGAUACACAUGCAAACACAUAUGUACACACAUGUAUGAUACAUGUGUGUUUAUGCAAUAUUAGCAUACAUGUGUAGGCUAAUAAUUGUUACACAAUGAGAGUCAUUUAAGGGAGCAAGCUAUGAUUCAAAAGUGUUUUAAUGAAUAUAUCACAUUCAAAAAGCAUUCUUUAAUAUAAAAAUAUAUUUAUUUUUCAUUCUAAGAUUAUUUCUUAAGAAUCAAAAUUUCAAAACUUUGAGAAACCUCUCCAGUUUACAAAUUGCUAAAUAUAUGCAAAGCACUAAAAUAUUAAACACGCACCCAACACUUAGAAAUGUAUUGGGUUACCAUUAAAAGCCUAUUUUUCACUAGAAAAACAUAUGCAUCUUAACAUAUGUGUGUGUGUGUGUGUGUGUGUGUGUUAAGGCAUAGUACGUUAUAUAUAUAUAUAGGCAUAGUCUUUUAGCUGUUAUCCUAAAUUAUAACUAUAUAUAUGUAGCAUUUUAUACUACAUGUGGAUUUAUUCUCUCCACUUAAAAAUAAAUCUUUAUGUCUCAAUGUAUGGCUUUCUAAUUAUCAUAUUUUUCCUAUUUGAAAUAUUAAUUCUGAUAUAGAACUCUUUUAAAACAAAUACCAACAUUUGAAUUAAUCUAAAUAAAGAAUAUAAUAUUCUCCACCAAAUUAUUAAACAAAAGCUCAUAAAUUUCAAAUAACAAAAAUAUCAUUUUUAUUUUCCAUCUUUCUUCUUACUUUCUUAAAAUAAAAACAAAAUCCAUAAAUUGCUUUAGUUUGUGUUUCCAAUUAUAUUCUCUAAAAUGCGUAUCCUUCUCAUGUUUUCAUUUUCUACUUUUUUUUCUACUGAAGUCAGUACAUCCCAUAAGGGAAAGCUGACUAUUUUGUUUGGCAGUAAUUCUCCAUACUCAAGAAUCAUGGAAGUAAUCACAUUGUGAAAGACUGUGUUUCUACUAGCUCAACUGCAAUGGUCCCCAGAUUUCUAAUUUACAAGUUUUAAAUUAAUGGCUAUUUACUCGACUAUACAACAAAAAGUAGUUAUCAUAGAAACUAAUCAUUGCAUAAUACUCUCACCAUCAAUUAGAUUCACAGCAUCACACACUCUUUGGAAAUAAAAUAAGUAACAAAACAAGCAAGACUUUGUUUCCUUUUGAAAACAGGAAACUGAAAAUAGGAUCAGAGUCAUAUAGGGUUCUGACAAGAUGAAAAUAUAAAAUCUUUGAUUUUUCAGUCUUUUCUAUCAGUGUUAAACAAUAGAUGAUAUGGCUAUUUAGAGACCUGUGUAUACAUGGAAUCAUACAUACUGAGACUUGGAAGAAAACUGUUAUUAAUUUGUCUCUGUUCUUUCACUUUCUAUUAUCUUGAGAUUAUGUGUGUGGCUGUGUUUUAAUGUGUUAAAUUAAACACAUUAAUUUAACUUUUGGAGUAACUGGCUCACAAAGGAAUCAGGGUGACCACAGACUAAUCAGGAAAGGAGAAGAUAUCCAUAUUCCAAAAGGUGGCAAGAGAAUUUCUGUGAAAAUCUGAUACCUCCUAUGUUUACUUUUCUAUUUUACUUCUCUAUCUUGCUGAGGUAAAUAUGCAAACAAAGUUAAGUCAAUUGUGCAAAGCCACCUUCAAUUCAGGCCAUUACAGAUCAGGAAAGUGAGGCAAGGAGAAUAUAAUAUAUUCAAGUGGAAGCACUGAAUUUUGGACCCAGGUGAUUCAGCUCGAGUAUUACUAUUGUUCACCAAUAUAUUCCACUACAUAGAGUUGUGAUACAUGUGAUCACCAUGUUUCUGAAAUUUCUUCCAGAAAGUGAGGGAGGGAAGAAGCAGCAAAAUUAAAACUUAUCUUGAAUGUACAUAAAAUUAGCAUUUUCAAGGAUGUUGUUUUCAGCCCAACUUUGUAUAAUGUAGGACACUAAGGAAGAUGCAAGGAUGAAGUGCUUCUUGUGAAUUUCAGUGGACUGGGAACCAUCUUUGCCUAAGAUUUAGACUUAGAAUAUAACUAAUGCCAUCGUGGCAGUACUGAUUUCAUUACAUUCCUCUUGAAUUCCUUUUAAAAUUGGGACGCCUGGGUGGCUCAGCAGUUUAGUGCCUGCCUUUGGUCCAAGGGCAUGAUCCUGGGGUUCUGGGAUCGAGUCUCCACAUCGAGCUCCCUCCUGGGGCCUGCUUCUCCCUCUACCUAUGUCUCUGCCUCUCUCUCUCUCUCUCUCUCUCAGUGUCUCUCAUGAAUAAAUAAAUAAAUAAAAUCUUUUUUUAAAAAAUGAUACAGAAUUUUAUGAUAAGUAACUAGUUUUGCCAAACUGAAGCUGCAGGACAAUGUAGUCUAUCUAGUAAGAGUUGACAAACUGAAAGCUUCAUGUGACAAACUAGAACUUAGGAGACAACAAAACACAAAGUGUAAGCAAUUAUGAAUAAUCAAUUUGUAUCUUGUUUUUUUUGUUUUGUUUUGUUUGCUUUUUUGAGAGAAAUCACGCACAUGCAUGCACACAUGGGAGAGUGUCAGAGUGAGAGGAAGAGAAUCUCAAGCAUGGGGCCCCACUCAAGGUCUAUCUCAGGAUCCUGAGAUCAAGACCUAAGCAGAAAUCAAGAGUCAGACGCUUAACCAACGAAGCCAUCCAGGCACCCCCUCUAUCUGUUUCUUACCUGGUAACUUAUGCCAUCACUGAUUAAUAUGAAAAUACUUAAAUAAAGAUCCUGAGUAAGAUUUUUAUUUUGUAAACACUUACCAGGAAUGAUUCCUGAAAAAUGAAAAAGAAAACUGGAAAAAUGAAUCAUUUUAAUAUUAAUUUUGUUUAAUAUUUUGCAUAUUCUUUUAAUUUUGUUUGGAAUAACUGAUACCCUAACAUUGUAACACCAGCACAAUUCAUGAUGUGGCCUUUGAAUUAAGAUACCCUCAAUGCUGCCUUAGGUUGUAUAGUAGUUUCUAAAACAGUUUUAGAGCAGAUCUUAAAGUCACUCCAUUGAUACAGUGUUUUCAGUCAUCUUCAAUGGUAUCUGUAAACUGACUUCAGUAGUCUGAUUUGCUAUCAUUUUAAGAGUUUAUGCAUGGACUGUGAACCUUCUAAUGUAAGGAAAAGGGAAAGUUAUUCCAAAAUGCUUUCAGUAGGGUAUCAUGAUAUUAUUUUAAGCUUUACAAUUGUAUAUAUCUAUGAAACAGCCUGUUUUGUUUUCAAUAAUCUUUAAGAAAAAUGAAAUAUACUGGUUAUUUUUCAAUAAAAGGCAAGGAAAAAGAAUUAACACAUUGUAUAGUUAUAUUACAUACAUUUAACAUAACUGCACAAAUCAUGUACAAGUCCCAUAAGCUAUACUCUUUCACAAAUACAAAUAAAUUUUCACAAGUAUUUAAAAUUUAAAUAAUGGUAUGAAAAUAUAUCUAAAAGCUGAAAUGUUUUGCAAAGAAGCAAUAGAACAGUUUAAUUGUGUAUAAACUAUGAAAAUACUCUGUGCCACAGUUUGCGCUGCUGUCAAUUAAGGCAUCUUUAAUUAUUAGGGUAAAAUCUCACAAAGUCAAAAGCU